AUCGCAACAACGACUUUCAUUGAUAGUUUCCUAGAUCUUUUACUGUGUCACAUAUUUAUCUAUCCAAUAUAUCCACUUAUUUGCAUUGUAGCAACUGCUAUUAUUGAUAGUUUCUCGGAUCUUUUUCGCAAUAAGUAUGCAGUGGAAGACUCAUUGAUUGUGAUGAUUGCUAAGGGACUAAGACCCAUUUUUCUUGGCCUUAUAUUGUGUGCAUCCCAUAGUCAGACUAUGCUUUGCAUCGGAAGUGAAUGGCAUCGUUAUCCUUCUUCAUUUUUUAUGCCUUCGUACAUUAAGGAA